UCUGUCAAGAUUGAGCUGCAUGUGGGAUA
rnacentral:piRNA from 1 species